GACGAACGCUGGCGGCGUGCUUAACACAUGCAAGUCGAACGGAAAGGCCCUGCUUUUGUGGGGUGCUCGAGUGGCGAACGGGUGAGUAACACGUGAGUAACCUGCCCUUGACUUUGGGAUAACUUCAGGAAACUGGGGCUCAUACCGGAUAGGAGCUCCUGCUGCAUGGUGGGGGUUGGAAAGUUUCGGCGGUUGGGGAUGGACUCGCGGCUUAUCAGCUUGUUGGUGGGGUAGUGGCUUACCAAGGCUUUGACGGGUAGCCGGCCUGAGAGGGUGACCGGCCACAUUGGGACUGAGGUACGGCCCAGACUCCUACGGGAGGCAGCAGUGGGGAAUAUUGCACAAUGGGCGGAAGCCUGAUGCAGCAACGCCGCGUGCGGGAUGACGGCCUUCGGGUUGUAAACCGAUUUCGCCUGUGACGAAGCGUGAGUGACGGUAAUGGGUAAAGAAGCACCGGCUAACUACGUG
rnacentral:rRNA from 1 species